AUUGAACGCUGGCGGCAGGCCUAACACAUGCAAGUCGAGCGGAGCCGCGGACGGGCGGGUAAUGCCUAAGAAUCUGCCUGGUAGCGGGGGAUAGCGGCCGGAAACGGGCGCUAAUCCCGCAUACUCUCAGAUGAGCCUAUGUCGGAUUGGCUAGUUGGGGGGGUAAAGGCGUACCAAGGCGACGAUCCGUAACUGGUCUGAGAGGAUGAUCAGUCACACUGGAACUGAGACACGGUCCAGACUCCUACGGGAGGCAGCAGUGGGGAAUAUUGGACAAUGGGGGAAAGCCUGAUCCAGCCAUGCCGCGUGUGUGAAGAAGGUCUUCGGAUUGUAAAGCACUUUAAGUUGGGAGGCGUUACUAACAGAAGAAGCACCGGCUAACUCCGUGCCAGCAGCCGCGGUAAUAC
rnacentral:rRNA from 1 species